rfam:Schistosoma curassoni strain Dakar, Senegal genome assembly, scaffold: SCTD_scaffold0010526
AUCCAGCUGACGUGUCCUAAAUAUGACGAAGCACUCGUCAUGGAU